rnacentral:rRNA from 1 species
GACGAACGCUGGCGGCGUGCUUAACACAUGCAAGUCGAGCGGUAAGGCCCUUUCGGGGGUACACGAGCGGCGAACGGGUGAGUAACACGUGGGUGACCUGCCCUUAGCUCUGGGAUAAGCCUGGGAAACUGGGUCUAAUACCGGAUAUGACUCCAUGACGCAUGUUGUGGGGUGGAAAGCCUUGUGCGGCUAGGGAUGGGCCCGCGGCCUAUCAGCUUGUUGGUGGGGUGAUGGCCACCAAGGCGACGACGGGUAGCCGGCCUGAGAGGGCGACCGGCCACACUGGGACUGAGACACGGCCCAGACUCCUACGGGAGGCAGCAGUGGGGAAUCUUGCGCAAUGGGCGAAAGCCUGACGCAGCGACGCCGCGUGGGGAUGACGGCCUCGG